UAUUAUGUAAGUUUAGCUGAUUAAAGUUUAUGACUCUGCACUACAAUAUUAUUUAUUAUUUAAGUUUACAUCAUUAUAAUAUUUAGGGUCAGACUCUACAGUAUUGAGAUUAAGAAAUCAAAUAUUCUGUAAAAUGUAAAUACACUGAACUCAUUUGGAUAUAUUUAAGUGAAACUCUACAAUAUUAUUUGACACAAAUCUAUCUAAAUCAAAAUUUUAGUAAUUUUCAUGCCAAACAUUUACUGGACUGAUUUAAAUAUUAAAAUCACUCCUUUCUAAUCCUCUGCUGUACGUUCAAACCUGAGGCCUGAAAUAGAAACACACAAGUAUCUGAUUGAAGGAACUUCUGCAGAGUCCUGGUUCCAGAACAUGAUGAUAGAAUUAUAGACAAACUUUAACAAAAGCUGCCUGAGAGUUUACAGGUUUUUAUGUUGGAUUUCUUCAGUAAUUUAAUGAGUUAUCAGCAAUAAUCAAGUGUUCAUUUGAUGAACUUCAUUUCCUAAAACAUCCCGAAUUGGAGCUCGUAUCUUUGGCAGCUGUAAAGUUUCUGCUCCUUCAAAGUUCACAACACAAUGAAUGAAUUCCUUUUAGCUGCCAUAAUUGUUAUUAUUGUUAAGAAAUGCAUUUGAUAUGAUUUGUAUAUUUUAUUUUGUCAAGUAAUUAUUUUUAUUUUGUUAACUGCUCAAGGGAAGCACUUUCUGUUUCAUGUUGCAAGGGGGACACUUUUACCUGUGACACAUAUGAUUUGGUUUUUCGAUGUAUUAUAAACUUGUUCAAGACGCACAUCCAGCCGUAAGAAAGGCAUAGCGUCAUACAAGGACUGAAAGGUGACGUUUGCAACGGUAAACUCUUUUUGUUUGAAGGAACAUUCUUCUUUUUGAUCAUUUUUGUGUUUGUGACGAAGCGGACUCAUUCCCUCUUUGCGUAAAUGCGGCUAGCGAGUUCGACGGUGGGUUUGUAUGGAGUUAACUGAAGUCAAUAAACCCGUCAGUGCUACAAGAACCAUGGUCUAAUUCCUGGAGGGAGUGAUAUCCUAAAACACUCUCAGUGCUGGAGAGCGUUUGUGAUGCUGAAGCAGUGACCAGUUUUUCUGUUUCUUCUCUGGAGAUGCACAAUGAGGGACGUCUGCAGCGACUGAGAAAGAGUCUCACCACAUCCUGACAUGAGGAAAAAGACUUUAUUGAAGACUACAAUGAGAAAAACUAUCAGAAGGUGAGCUCUGAACAUUUGAUCUGGAACAGGAAUUCAAUAACUGCAGCAUGAGCUUCAUUUCAGUCUGUAGCUGCUGAAUUCAUGGAUGGAUCAUCUGGUACUAGAGAAGAAGACCAUCAAACAUCCACGUCAGCUGAUGGAGGUCCAAGAGUCUCAUCCAACAACCAACCUACAGUGAAGACCUCGAAUCUGAUUGGACGGCCUCCUAUUCAGCCACGUGUGAACAAAUGUCUCUAAGCUGAUUUGUUUUCUAAAAUAAAUCUAGUUUGUGUUCUAAUCUAUGCCUGUGUGUUUGCUUCUUUACACUGCUGUUAAGAGUUUAGGCUGUUAGAUUGUUCCAGAUAAGACAAGUACAAGAUUCUUCAGAGCCGUUCUACCACGAGCCUGACAGGAAGAACUCCAACAGCUACUGAAUGUUCCUGUGGUCCCCUCAAGGCUACAGGAGGAGCCCUACGAGGACGAGCUGGUCCACCUGAUGGAGGCCAGUCGCUGUGGUUCAAAGCCAACACCGACUACGUGGACUUCUACUGGACCACAUGGAGGCCUUCAAACCGGACCAACAAGUUCAGCGACUCCCCGACUCGUGGGUCUGAGGACGCCGCUGAGCCUCGGUCCAGCUGGCCUCCUGUCUGUGGGUGUUUGAGUGCUGAGAGGUUUGUGGAUGCAUGUGAACGUUCUGUGUUGAAACAGCAGCUUUGGACUCAGUAACGCUGGGAAAAACCAAGAGCUCCUUUAUUUGUGACUUCCACUAAAAAAACUGAUGAAAAUAAGUUUGACAGGGUUCUGACUGAUAACAGAUUGUUAAAUAAUGAAAAUAAUCAUUCAAAUAU
ensembl:lncRNA